rnacentral:rRNA from 1 species
UACGGAGGAUGCAAGCGUUAUCCGGAAUGAUUGGGCGUAAAGCGUCCGCAGGUGGCAAUGUAAGUCUGCUGUUAAAGAGUCUAGCUCAACUAGAUAAAAGCAGUGGAAACUACAUAGCUAGAGUACGUUCGGGGCAGAGGGAAUUCCUGGUGUAGCGGUGAAAUGCGUAGAGAUCAGGAAGAACACCAGUGGCGAAGGCGCUCUGCUAGGCCGUAACUGACACUGAGGGACGAAAGCUAGGGGAGCGAACGGG